CCUACGGGAGGCAGCAGUGAGGAAUAUUGGUCAAUGGACGGAAGUCUGAACCAGCCAUGCCGCGUGCAGGAAGACGGCUCUAUGAGUUGUAAACUGCUUUUGUACAAGGGUAAACCUGAAUAUGUGUAUUCAGCUGAACGUACUGUACGAAUACGGCUCGGCUCAUUCCGUGCCAGCAGCCGCGGUAAUACGGAGGCUCCAAGCGUUAUCCGGAUUUAUUGGGUUUAAAGGGUGCGUAGGCGGGUUGAUAAGUUAGAGGUGAAAUGUCCGAGCUUAACACUGGAACUGCAUCUGAUACUGUUGAUCUAGAGAGUAGGUGCGGUAGGCGGAAUGCAUGGUGUAGCGGUGAAAUGCUUAGAGAUCAUGAAGAACACCGAUUGCGAAGGCAGCUUACCAAUCCAUAUCUGACGUUGAGGCGCGAAAGCGUGGGGAGCAAACAGGAUUAGAUACCCUUGUAGUC
rnacentral:rRNA from 1 species